CACGUAGGCACCAAGCGUUGUCCGGAUUUAUUGGGCGUAAAGAGCUCGUAGGCGGUUCAGUAAGUCGGGUGUGAAAACUUUGGGCUUAACCCAAAGCGUGCAUCCGAUACUGCUGUGACUUGAGUUCGGUAGGGGAGUGGGGAAUUCCUAGUGUAGCGGUGAAAUGCGCAGAUAUUAGGAGGAACACCGGUGGCGAAGGCGCCACUCUGGGCCGAAACUGACGCUGAGGAGCGAAAGCAUGGGUAGAAAACAGG
rnacentral:rRNA from 1 species